rnacentral:rRNA from 1 species
UACGUAGGGCGCAAGCGUUUAUCCGGAAUUAUUGGGCGUAAAGAGCUCGUAGGCGGUUUGUCGCGUCUGCCGUGAAAGUCCGGGGCUCAACUCCGGAUCUGCGGUGGGUACGGGCAGACUAGAGUGAUGUAGGGGAGACUGGAAUUCCUGGUGUAGCGGUGGAAUGCGCAGAUAUCAGGAGGAACACCAAUGGCGAAGGCAGAUCUCUGGGCCGUAACUGACGCUGAGGAGCGAAAGCGUGGGGAGCGAACAGG